UCAACCAGAGAGAAGCAGCCUGUUAGCCUAGCUCACUGCCUCCUCAUUUCCCCGGGGCAGACAGAUCUCAGCCUCACCUGCCAGUCUCGGAGGGGCACCCAAGGCAUUUCUAGAUGUAGGUUUCUGCUGUCAUAACCUGCAGUGAGGAUCUUAUUAUAGUUAAUACAGGGACCCCCUCAAAACAAAAUUCCAAUGUGGAUGCUAAAGCCUGAUCACCCAAUGGGAGUGAGGAGAGAAUAGACAGUAGCCGAGGCUGGAGAAUGGAGCCCCCUUGCCAUCCUGCAUGGUGUGUGCGAGGCUUCUGCUGGCAUAAAGCACGAGACAAUCCCAAGAACAGACUCUGGAGCCUCUUUGAGGUACCCCUGGCCACCCUUCUGACUGUCUCCAGCAUGGGUGGAGGCAAGGGUCAGACGAAACUGCUGAGAUAGCAACUUGGAGCCUGCCAGCCCCAUGCCAGCCCCAUGCCAGCCAGCUAUUGUUCCCCUCCAGCUCAGCCUCUCCAGGUCAGGACACCGACAAAGGAGGCAGGACCACUCCCUAAGCAAGCUCCGGCACGGAUCUCAGGAGUGACUGGGGGCCCUACAGACAGCAGCCCGCCUUUCGUGUGCAGAGCUGGGGGCUGGAAGAAACAUGUUCUGUGCCUGCUGCCAAGUUUCCUCCGAGAACAAUGCGGGAGAAGAUGGUGGCUUGGAGACUGAGAAGGGUGUGGUGCUUACAGGUCUGGGGGAGGUCAGGCACGCUGUUGCAGGGAAGCCACCUUCCCCUGUCCCCCUCGUGAAAGCAGGCAUCCUGAGACGGUGUUGACUCCUGGCAGGGAUGACUGCUGUUGAAUCCAAAGCUUUUGGGAAGACCGAAGGGAGCAGGUAGUCAAGGAGAGAGAGGCUGCCUCCUUCCCAGUUAGUGACUUGAGGAUUCAAGGGCAUGCUGCCAUGCCUAAUUUUUUAUGUGGAUGCUGGGGAUUGGAACCCAGACCCUCAUUUUUGUGAGGUUUUGUCAGCAGGGGCUAAAAGAAAGGUGAACAAAGGUGACGUAAUAGACAUGACAAAGUGGGCAGAGCAAAGCCCGUGGGGCCUCAAUCUUACUCAAGGAACCACAGCAACUAAGGAAUGCUGAGAGUUGGAGAAAUAGCCUUUCCCAGGGAAGAGCACACCAACUGGCUGUCCAAUACCAAAUGUCCCAAUCUGUCACUGAAGGCCUGGAAGACUCCCAGAGAGUUGCUUGUCUUUAGUUCAUGUUGGAAGGUUGAAGAAGCUGGGUUGCAAUAUCAUCAAAUGAUGACAGCAUAAUUGACAGCCACAGAGUUGAUACACUCACCAGCAGGGAUGAGAGCCUCUGUGGCUGCAGAAGAGAAUAGCUGGGAUCCUUCCGUAAGGAUGUCAUUGCAGAAGUGAAGCCAUGUUUCUGAAACUCCCCAAUAAAGCAAAGACUCUGCCUUGCUUGAUGAAACUAUUAAGAGGGAAAGUGGGUUCAUCUAUGGAAGGUGGGUGUGAUGGUUAAUGUUGAUUGCGAUUGCCAACUUAACAGAAUCUCAAAUCACCUGAGAGAUGGGCUUCAGGGCAUGCCAACAGCAGUAGAGUACCCUCUGAUUGAAUUAAUUGAAGUGGAAAGAUGGCCCCACCAUGGGUGACACAUUCCCUAGCUGGGAUGCUGAAUUGUACAAGUAGAGAAAGGGAGCUGAGCAGCAUUCAUUGCUCAGCAUUCAUUCCUUAUUGUGGAUGUCAUGUGACAAGCUUCUUCUGACUCCCACCACCUUGACUUCCUGCCAUAGCAGACUGUAUCUUUAGACUGUGAGCUAGAAUCAGCCUUUUCUUCCUAAAUUUGCUUUUGUGAAGGCCGUUAUCACUGCAGCAGCAGGAAAAGAAAUGAAGACAGCGGGGUUAGGCUCCAGGAACUUUGUACUGCAGAACUGGAACUCUCCGGGGAGCUGAGCUUCUAAUGAUGGGUUAAUGAGUGGGACUGAAGGAAAGGAGGAGGCUCCAAAACCAGCUGGCUGCCCCAUGAAGACUGUGAACACUUGAUCCCCAGAGUCAAACAAUCUUUAUCCACUCCUGAGUUUGCCUCAAGGCCAGCAGCGCCUACCAGAUUUAUGAACCAGAGAGUACAUGCUGCAGAUUUACAAUGCUUUGGCUUCAGCAGGGAGCCUGGAAUUCCUUCAGAACUAAGUCGGUGGACAUCCCUUUGUGGGGCUGAUGCUUUCAAGGCCCAGGAGAGAAUUCCUGUGAUGGUGUUUCUUCAGCAUCCCACCUCAACACUCUACAGCAUUCUGUUAUUUCUGGCAUCUCUACUUGGCAAGCGUUACCUCCUCUGAGCUGCAUGGCAGACCUCACUUUGACCACAGCAUUUCAUUGACUCAGACGGAGCUGGGGCCGUGACACUUCAAGCGGUGUCUAGAUCCAGGACAGUGACUUUGACAAAGGCAAUGCUGAAGUCAUGUCCAUGGGACAGUCCUGGCUAGAAUAUCCUGUGGCUAACCUAGUCAGCUUCAGUUCUGACUAUCUGGAUUUAUAGACCUGGGAACACACAGCCAGUCACUGGAUGCUGAAGACCAUGUGGAGAAAAGAGCAAUAACAGCAACAACAAAAAGCAAAACAGUGUAAUGGUUGUAAGAUAAACCUUUUUUGUUUUUUAUUUUUGAAGUAGGGUCUCUUGUAGCUCAGUCUGUUCUUAAAUUCACUCUGUAGCUUAGGUUGACCUUGAACUAUCUGAUCCUCUUAAUUCUACUUUGCUAGAGCUGGGAUUAUAGGAGUGCGCAACCACAUUCAAGCAUUACAUUGAAGCCUCUAGUAUUCUUGGCAAGCAUCCUACCAAGCAAGCUGCAUUCCCAGCCCUGUUCUACAUUUUUAUUGGAAAAUCUCACACAUUCAUAAAAGGAAGCAGACUAUGCUUCCUGUUCUAGAACCUACUGUGUUGGGGAUAUGAAGUGGGGAACACAAGAGCAAAUCCACACGUCCAGAUGGAGAAAUUUCCUCCCUGGAGGACUCUUGGCUCUCUCUCUAGACGGCCUGCGUGUGGAGAAUGGCAGGCUGUUCAUCGGUGUCGAGGUAGCUGCUGCUGUGCUGUGACAUGAGGGGACACUGAGAGGUAGAACAUUUGCUGGCAAAGGCAGGGAGGCCCAGGCUUAAAAGAUCCAUUUGGAAGGUAAGGUGAGGCAUGGAGGGUAGGUUCUGGGUGCUGAGUGUUUCCAGUUAAGUAAUAUUCUACAGUGCUAAAACAGAAUAAACUUUGUGAGCCUGAAAAUUCUCUCUCUCUCUCUCUCUCUCUCUCUCUCUCUCUCUCUCUCUCUCUCCUACAGUGCUGAAAGAGAAUAAACUUUGUGAGCCUGAAAAAUUCUCUCUCUCUCUCUCUCUCUCUCUCUCUCUCUCUCUCUCUCUCUCUCUCUCUCUCGUCUAUACAUGUGAGGGUUUACAUGCUCAGAGGUCAGAAGAGGGCAUUACGUGUGCUGAUUUAUCCAUUCCAGCUUUAUUGAAACGGGGUCUCUCACUGAACCUGGAACUAAACUGACACCCCACAACCCUAGUGAUCCUGUCUCUGUCCUGUCCCCACCUUGCUGGAGUUACAGUUGGGUCAGUGACUACACCUGGCUAUUUACAUUGGAGUUUGAGCUCUGGUCCUCAUUCAUAUUUGUGAAAUAACUGCUCUUACAUGCCGAACCAGUGCCCUGACGGUGCUGCUCAUAGAGCCAAGCCUGGUGGCACCUUGACUUCUCCACGGCAGUUUUCCUAAGGCUGGAAACUGUGGUUGUUUCCCGGCAGGCUUCAGGGAACCCACAAACUUCUUGAACUCGAUCCAAAACAUGCUGUGCCUGAGUGUUGCCCUGGGUCCAGGGUCUAGUGAAAGGGCUUUUGUGAACAAAGCAUUCUCUGAAGGGUGAGGAACUAUGGCGAGUCUCAUCACAUAGGGAUCUUGUGACCUGCCAACCUCCUGGAUUCUGUAAGUAACUUCUUGGGAUUGCCCUGUAUUUCCUUCAGGGCGGAAACAAAGACUCCACUUGUCUCCAAAUUUGGAACAAUUUAUUCUACUUCCAGAUUGCUUAUUUGGGCAUUUUUUGCGCAUGCGUGUGUGCAUGCGUGCGUGCGUGCGUGUGUGUGUGUGUGUGUGUGCGUGCGUGUGUGUGUGUGUGUGUGUGUGUGUGUGUGUAAUCUGUAGGAGAAGGGAGAAAGACCGCAUUCUCUAAGAGUGCUGUAUGUGUGUGCCCAUGCCUGUGAGUGUGCAGAAACCCCUAAGCAGAGGACUUUGACUCUUAGAGCUGGCCAGUGUUUCUUUCCCUUUCCUUCUUUAUGUUUGCACAGUGUCUCCACUUUGAAGACCUGCCUUGCCAUUACUUCAGAACCCUGUCUGCUGCCCUCUGAUCCACACAGCCGUUCAGGGGAUGGCUCCGAUCCCGCGUGUGCCAGCAACUGGGGCCAACUGCAACAGUGGAAACCAAGACCGCUCUGGAAAAAUAUUUGUUUAAUUAGCAGAAAUGAUCUGUGAUCCGAAUCCAUGUUUAACUGCCUGGCCCACGGCCAAGGCUGAUGAAUUUCCCUUCAGGGCUGUGUUUGGUUUUGAGUUGGGUAGUGGUGUUGGGCUCUGCGACUUGUACCCUGGAGUAGGGAGAGGCUCGGCUCUGCUCAGAUAUGAAAUGUUUUCCUGACAGGCAGUGCCAGGAGGGGAAACUGAGGUGACUCUCCCCAGGCCUGGAAGAUUUCCUCACCACCUGUGUUAUGCCCUUAGAGGGAGUCCGCUUGCAGAGGUCCUCCAUCUCCCACAAGUGAAUGUCUCUCCAGCUGAAUCAUGAGGCACGCUCAAACUUCUUCUACUGGACUCUGGGUGCUUAGGCUCAAGAUGUAACUCCUGUCCCUACGCCUCAUAGGAAGUCUAGAAGUUGCUGGAAAAGCUGGAGCCUCCUGGUUUUAAGGCCUGUGUGCAGGCUUCCGGUCAUGGGUUUCACUGACCUUUUGAUAUUGUAAAAUGAUGUUAUCAUCUACAGAGUUCACUCUGGAGAACCUACCCAUCGAGUUACAAAAAUUAACACCCCUCCCUUCCUCUCUCUUUCUGUUUCUCUGUCUCUCUCUGUCUCUGUCUCUGUCUCUGUCUCUGUCUCUCUCUCUCUCUCUCUCUCUCUCUCUCACACACACACACACACACACACACACGGUGUUUUAGAUACAUUUAGGACUUCAGGGUAGAUUGCAGUUUGAACCCACCUGGAAACCAUGCUCCCGCCCCCAGUUCAUAAUGUGAAGCCUGAAGUCCUAACCCCCAGGACCUUGGAGCAUGAGUGUAUGGGACACAGAUCUUUAUAGAGGAAAUUACAUUCAAACUAGGGCAGAUGAAUGGGCCCCAGUCCAGUCUGCCCAGUGUCUUCUUCAGAAGAGGCUAGGAUUGUCUACAGUGCCAGCUGUGUAAAGGAACAGUCACAUGAGGACUGGCUAUCUGCAAACCAUGGAGGGAGUCAUACAGCAACCUCAUCUAGGCGGGUCCUUGAGCUAGGAUUCCUAGCUUCCACAACUGUGAAACAAGAAGCCUCUGCUAUUUAAGUUCCCCAGUCUUGGCUGUUUUGCAAUGUCUGACCUAGCUGAUGAACACUGCCCCAACACCUUCUCUGGAUGAUUGAAUCCUUCCCUUCCGUCUUGCUCAGCCGUAUGAUAUUGGCUUAACACAAUACAAAUGUAUAUUUCUAUAGUCUGGAGGUCGGAAGUCCCAAGUUGGGCCAAGACAGGGCCAGCCUGAGAGUGUUAACUUCAGAAUACAAGGGGGACUGUAGUGGCACAGUAGACAUGGGUAAAGGGCUUGGCUUUGUGCCAAGGGAGAGAGCUGCUUGUGGUUUUGUCUCUUGACUUGCUCUGGAAACAAGGCGAUAUCAACUUUCAUUUUCUCAUCUGGAAAAUGGGGUGAUACUGCCUUAAGUUAAACUUAACUGGACCAAAAGACUCAGGAUUCCAUAUUUGGAGUUCCUUCAUAAGGAGCUGAAACCAAAUGUGGUAGUAAGUCAACCAAAGCUUAGUGUUGGAUUUUCCUCUGAUAACAAGUAACUGAGUCUCAGCCAAUCACAGCAGCUGAACAUCAGCCACACACAACAGGCAACUGAUCCGACUAUGUUCAAAUAAGGCAAAGAUGGAGCUAGAACCAAUUUAGUUGCUUCUGCACCUCGCUUCAGCUGUCUCCACUCCCAUUUCCCAUUUUCUGCCCCCAUGGCCCAGUGGAGCUUCUCCUGGUUCUGUGCUGUCUCAUCCAUCCAUUUGUCUUUCUUCAACUUGAACUCUUUUAAACUGAUUUCUACGGUUUCUAUUGUUAGCUGACUCUACCUUGUUGGGCUAUGAAAAUUAAGUAGAAAUUUCAGCUUUGCAGUGGAAUGACAGUAGGUGUUCUGUAAAUGCCGGUUGUCAUGACA